rnacentral:rRNA from 1 species
UUCGGGUACAAUUGAGACAGGUGGUGCAUGGUUGUCGUCAGCUCGUGUCGUGAGAUGUUGGGUUAAGUCCCGUAACGAGCGCAACCCUUGUCCUUAGUUACCAGCACGUUAUGGUGGGCACUCUAAGGAGACUGCCGGUGACAAACCGGAGGAAGGUGGGGAUGACGUCAAGUCAUCAUGGCCCUUACGGCCUGGGCUACACACGUGCUACAAUGGUCGGUACAAAGGGUUGCCAAGCCGCGAGGUGGAGCUAAUCCCAUAAAACCGAUCGUAGUCCGGAUCGCAGUCUGCAACUCGACUGCGUGAAGUCGGAAUCGCUAGUAAUCGUGAAUCAGAAUGUCACGGUGAAUACGUUCCCGGGCCUU